rnacentral:rRNA from 1 species
GACGUAGGGCGCGAGCGUUGUCCGGAUUUAUUGGGCGUAAAGCGCACGUAGGCGGAUAUUUAAGUCGGGGGUGAAAUCCCGGGGCUCAACCCCGGAACUGCCUUCGAUACUGGGUAUCUUGAGUUCGGAAGAGGUGAGUGGAAUUGCGAGUGUAGAGGUGAAAUUCGUAGAUAUUCGCAGGAACACCAGUGGCGAAGGCGGCUCACUGGUCCGAUACUGACGCUGAGGUGCGAAAGCGUGGGGAUCAAACAGG